GGGUGUGUAGCUCAGUUGGGAGAGCACCUGCCUUGCAAGCAGGGGGUCAAGAGUUCGAAUCUCUCCAUCUCCA
rnacentral:tRNA from 1 species